rnacentral:rRNA from 1 species
UACGAAGGGGGCUAGCGUUGCUCGGAAUCACUGGGCGUAAAGGUUGCGUAGGCGGGUCUUUAAGUCAGGGGUGAAAUCCUGGAGCUCAACUCCAGAACUGCCUUUGAUACUGAGGAUCUUGAGUUCGGGAGAGGUGAGUGGAACUGCGAGUGUAGAGGUGAAAUUCGUAGAUAUUCGCAAGAACACCAGUGGCGAAGGCGGCUCACUGGCCCGAUACUGACGCUGAGGCACGAAAGCGUGGGGAGCAAACAGG